rnacentral:rRNA from 1 species
UACGUAGGGUGCGAGCGUUGUCCGGAAUUAUUGGGCGUAAAGAGCUCGUAGGCGGUUUGUCACGUCUGCUGUGAAAUCCCGAGGCUCAACCUCGGGCCUGCAGUGGGUACGGGCAGACUGGAGUGCGGUAGGGGAGAAUGGAAUUCCUGGUGUAGCGGUGGAAUGCGCAGAUAUCAGGAGGAACACCAAUAGCGAAGGCAGCUCGCUGGGACGAUACUGACGCUAAGGCGCGAAAGCGUGGGGAGCGAACAGG